GAGAAGAACUUGAGAAAAAAUUCUGGUGGGAAACUGCACGUGACCUUUUUACGCUGUACUACUCGAAACAAAAAUAAUCUGUUCAGAUUUCUGUGUCGUUUUUUUAAAAAUUAAAAGCGCAUUAUUUGCCAGAAAUAUAAUUUCAGUCAUAAAUUUUCAUAUUUAGAGCAAAUUGGCAUUAUGCAUAUUUUGUUUUUUUGAACACUAAAUAUUACUCCGCCGACAUUGGAAUGUCGCCUUGACAUUGAAAGACGUUGCUGUUGAAAUUUGAGUAAGUCGAUAGUGUUAUUAUUUACAAUUUAAGAUUGAACUUCAUUGAAAGAAACAAACGAUGAGUAGUACAUGUACAUUGUAUAUAGACGAUAAAAAGACAAUCAUACCAUUUUUUUUCAGUGGUUGUCGUUUGAACAAUUGUUUUUGACUAUUUUUAAAUGAAAUUAAUGAUACUAAUACCACUCCUCUCCCGCCAACAAUAAAGGUAAACACAGUAAGAGAAGUUACACAGGUGGGAGCGAUCUAUUGUUAUCGACAUCAUGGCUUCACGCAUUGUGACAUGGUUAAUUCAACAUAAUCAAAAAGAAGUUUUGAUAUGCAAAUAUAUCCGAUUGUACCAUGGUUGCAGCUAUUUUUUCCUUGAAGUUGACUGCUGUAUAACCCCCGAUCGUCCGAGAAUAGACGAAGCGUAUGCAUACAGAAAUUACUACGAUGCAUUGUUUGGGGCGGAGCCUAGCUUUGCCAUAACUUCCUAGUUAUUUUUCACAGUUAGACUGCAGCGAUAUCUUGAAACAAGAGAAAACGAAUAUGUUGGUGCAAGAAACAAAGUUAAAACCUUAUUAAGAAAAUGCAAAAGAAAAUUCGAGCGUGAAAUUGCAAAGGAAGUAAAACUUUAUCCCAAGAAAUUUUGGAGAUAUGCAAUCUCCAAAACGAAAACGAGAUCUGGAAUCCCGGAUCUGCACAUUAAGUGCAGAAACGAAAUAAUGAUUGUGCAAAAUGAUCGGGAUAAAGCGAAUGCAUUAGCAGACUAUUUUUCAAGCGUUUUCACGGUCGAACCACCAGUUUUGUGUGAUCUUACUAUAAAGAGUCCAUGCAUUACUGCUGAAAUAUCAGAGCUACAAGUAUUUAAUAUCUUAAAGACAUUAAAUCCCUCAAAGUCUCCUGGACCGGAUAAUAUUCAUUCGAAAGUACUAAAGGAAACUGCUGAUAUACUAAAAUCCCCUAUAUGUGAACUAUUUAACUGUUCUUUACAAUCCGGAGAGCUUCCUAACAGCUGGAAGGAGGGUCAGGUAACUGAAAUACACAAAAAGGGGACAGGAAAACGCGAAUGAAUUAUUCAAGUCAACAGCAAUAUGGAUUCGUUAGCGGAAGGUCAACUAUUUUACAGUUGCUAAAAGUUAUUGAUGAUUGGACAGAGGUUAUCUAUAAGGGAGGAUCAAUCGAAACAGUUUACCUAGACUUCAUGAAAGCCUUUGACACUGUCCCACAUCUUCGGAUUAUAAGCAAAUUAAAGACAUACGGACUAUCAACAGAAAUAAUCACAUGGAUUCAAAGUUUCUUAACCAACAGGAAACACCGCGUAACAAUAACCGGAGAAAAAAUUGGAUGGAGGUAACAAGUGGAAUCCCCCAGGGAAGCGUCUUAGGGCCGUGCCUUUUUGUACUUUACAUCACCGACACAAAGAUUUACAAUAAUAAUGAUAACUCUAAUUUACAAGCAGAUCUAGACAAGCUCCAAAAAUGUUCAGAUAAAUGGCUCCUGAAGUUUCAUCCGGACAAAUGCAAAGUUGUGCACGUUGGGAAGAAAACUAAUAAUGCGGUGUUACAUUUAUAUAAAGAUAAGAAAAAAGGAAGAGUCGAGGUCACAUUAGACCAUGUGACAAAAGAAAAAGACACGGGAAUUAUAACAGACAACAACCUCAAUUUCAAUGAUCAUAUUCACGAUGUGAUCAAUGAAGCUAAUAGAAUAAUGGGAACUAUCCGAAGAACAUACACGUACUUAGAUAACACUACAUUCUGUCUUUUAUACAAAGCGCUUGUUCGACCACAUCUUGAUAACGGGGCUUGUGUAUGGAAUCCCUUUCUCCAAAAAGAUAUAAAUGAGAUAGAAAACGUGCAAAGGAGAGCACCGGGGAUGAAAGAUCUAAGUUAUGAAGACAGAUUGAGGAUCCUUUAUUUACCAACACUAAGGCAUAGAAGACUGAGAGGAGAUAUGAUCCAAGUAUACAAACAAACAAAUGAAGGAUACGAUAAAGCUGUCACUGAGGGUUUGUUAAUUCCAAACAAUAAUAAGAUAACAAGAAAACAUAGUUUGCCACUACUAAAAAGAAGAAGUAGACUAAAUUUGAGAAAAUAUUCUUUCAAUGAGCGGGUUGUUAACCAUUGGAACUCUCUUCCUAAUGCUGUCGUUACGUCACCAACGAUCAAAACGUUUGAGUCCCGAUUGGAUAAGCAUUUGGGGGCAAUCUGAAUGUUUUUAUAGUCAUUAGAUAGACAAUAACGAACUGAUCCAUAUUUCGGGAAAAAGCUCAUUGUAACUUCGAUCUGGAUAUAUCGACUAAUAUUGCCUGCGUCCAGUAAUACUAUUAUUAAUGUUCAUGUAUCAUACGGUUAUUACAAUUCAUUAUUAAAUUAUCGGUAAAUCGUGUCACUAUACUCCAAUAUAUAGCUUUUCAAUGUGCUUUAAAGAAUAAAACACUAAGAUGAUAAAAUACUCAUUAGCUUAUUUUUAUACCACACACACAAAAUUAUGUUUAUAACAGUUCCUAAUCACACUAUCAGUAAACACAUGACUCCACGCUAAAAUGUAUGUAAAAUGUAGUCAUUACAUGUGCCUCAACUUUCAAGAAUAGAAGUUAAAAUUGUGAAAUAUUUCCCUAGGCCUGUCACAUAAAGUCCCAUAUUAGUAGAGAACUUAAGUUAACAAACCUAACACUCCACUAUAUAUAUAUCCUUAUCUACACCCGUAUGCGAUGGGAGCGAAUUGACUUGCAUGUGGCUGGGGUUUCGUCAGUUUACAUUACAAUUAAGAACUUGGUGUCACUGUGCUGCAUUAUGAAACUCUUAAGUACAACAGAAGCCUGGCCUAGCAAUAUCAUCAUAAAGUUUACAUUCAGUCAGACAUUUCAUCAGUACACUGUCUGUCUUGGGCCUGGCGUAGUGUUCGGUUUCCAGAGCCAGCAGAAAACAUCCCGCGUGAAACUGGGCCAGGUACGGGUGUAUGGCCUGUUCGUGGGAUAUCGAAUUUUACAUACUUUUCUGUGUAUAUUUUCAGUAGGUCCUAAGCUUGUUUCCAUCCACAGUGUUGUGUUUAUUACAUAAUUGGUGACGCCACUCUGCAUUGUCUAUCGUACGUUUAUUAAAUGGGAGAUUUUUUUUUACAAUAUACAGUGUCGAUGAAUUAUGUAUUUCCUUUCGUAGUUAUACUAUGUUAAAUGUAUGUAAUUUGUAAACAUUUCGCAUCAAUGUAUAUAUAUUUUGAUUCAGGUAUUCAUAUCAUCUGAUCAGGGUAUCUAUCACUGUGCCUUUAUGUCUGGCUAGGAGUCUUGAGAUUAUAGGAGCCGUAGAUCGUGAGUUCGAGGCCCGGGCAGGGCACAAAUCAGAAAAGUAACUUCCUUUGCAAUUGUGUUCAAUGUGUGUUUGUGUGGGUGUGUCUGAAUGAAGUUUUACAUGUUCAAUAUAGAUAACAAACUUGGCGAAAUACGAAAAAUAGAGAUAACACAUUUUACUGAACAUUGAAUAAUUUGGAUUUGGAUUGUAAUGAGUGUAACUGUUUUGGUUACAGCCUGGUUCUGGUUGCUGAUUGGUAUACUUGGACUUCUGACUCUUGGACUACUUAGUUAUCUGACCUGGUUCUGUAUCAGAUACUGCUGCAACAACUGCAGAGGUCGUCGGAGAAAGGUUCGGGACGCUGAGGAUGUUGAAGACGACCAGUCUGAGUGCAGUAGACUGUGCUGUGGUUGCUGUUUUUACUGCAUGCGAACACCAAGUAACACAAAGGAUGGCUGCUGUGACUACUUCGGCUGCUGUGGUUACGCCGGAUGCUGUUCGUGUUGCUGCUGGUGUUGCAGAUGCUGCAGAGAAAUUGUAGAGCCGGAAAACAAAGUGCGCGUGCGUCACGUUAAGCAAAAACAUCGCCCUAUAUUUUCAAUGAAACGACAAAAAACUAUAUAAUCUAAAAACAAGAAGAAGAAGAUGGCGAUGUUGAAGCUGAGCAGACAGCAGCAGAUUGUAAAGGGCAACUUGUUACCGACUACUCAAAUGGUACGGUCAAUGAUACAAGACGACCCGAAACUGUUUAGGAAGGUGGCAAAGACACUUCCUGUGUGGAUGCCCCACACAAAUACUGUCAGAAACAUUAACACAAGUACAAAAUAAGUUAUUAUCAAAUACGUCGACCACUUUAUAUUACGUUUGUAUAUUAUAUAAAUGUCAAUUAAAUUAGAACAACGUAGUACACCGUAAUACUAAUAUCUAUGAAGACAACCUAUUCCAACUUCGUGUCAGUCGCACUUGAUUUGGAAAUGAAAUAAUUAGAAGUAAGAGUUGUCUUUCUUUGUCAAUGUCAACAGCAUAAUGUGUACCUGACAGUAUCGUGUUCUAUAUUGGAUGUUUGUGUUCUAAUGUACCUGGCCCAGCAUUUGUC